CGCCUAACACAUGCAAGUCGAACGAAGGCUUCGGCCUUAGUGGCAGACGGGUGAGUAACGCGUGGGAAUCUACCCAACAGUUCGGAAUAACUACUGGAAACGGUGGCUAAUGCCGGAUACGCCCUUCGGGGGAAAGAUUUAUUGCUGAUGGAUGAGCCCGCGUCGGAUUAGCUAGUUGGUGAGGUAAUGGCUCACCAAGGCGACGAUCCGUAGCUGGUCUGAGAGGACGACCAGCCACACUGGGACUGAGACACGGCCCAGACUCCUACGGGAGGCAGCAGUGGGGAAUAUUGGACAAUGGGGGAAACCCUGAUCCAGCGAUGCCGCGUGAGUGAAGAAGGCCUUAGGGUUGUAAAGCUC
rnacentral:rRNA from 1 species